GCAAGUACUUGCUCAUUCUUCCUUUAAAUAUGUGUCAACUUUCUUCACUCACAGCAUGCUACAGCGAGUUCCAGAGGUCUACUAACACCUUAACUGCAAUUUCAACUCCAGGCAUCAUGAAAGAGAUUUGAACUUGUUUGUGCUGAUCUAAACAAAAGAAGUCAUCUGUACCCAUUAAUGAGCUUCUUGUCAUCAGCUGUGAAGUACAUGUGAAACAGAAUCCACAGGACUAAACAAGAAGCUAAUACCAUGGAGUUGUUGUCAGCAAUUGAAACCAGUUUGUGCACAACAGACUUUGUAUUGGAUGACAAGAAGAGUGACUACUGGGUAGUCAGUUAUACCCUCCGAAUUCCUAGUCCUCUGUGAUCAAUACAACAUGUAAUCUAGUAUCAAAACCAAGCCCCAUCUAACGCUGGAAAUCAGCAUAAUGGAAGCAUGUUUGUUCUUACAUCCUUAAGUGUCUUUUGAAGCUACAAGACACAAGCUUGAUCUGUUCUUCAAAUUCUUAUCUAGUUACCUGCUUUUAGCUGUGAAUGACAGGUCACAGAUAUAGUUGAGUUGUCCUUUCUUAGGGUUUUCUGAACAAAGGUAUGCACGAGGUGUAGAAGAGCAGAAAAUAUGGGAAUUAUUUGAGAUCUCUGUAGCCAGUCUAUGCCAAAAGAGAUGCCUAGCUUGAUAAUGAGUAGGAAGUGCUGUGGCUGAAUAUGGUUAUGGAAGUCCAAUAUUAGAAAAAGAACAGCAAGAACUGGUAGCAACAGUGUGAAACCCUCUAGAACUAUACAGAAAACUCAAGCCCUGCAGCUGACCCAUGCAGUGGGUCAUAAGCUUCUUUGGCUCAUUGGGCUGUCUUCAAACAUACUAUACCAGCAACUUUCCAAAGACACAAAGGGAGAGGAAACUGAUUUGAUUUCCUUGGGGAUGUUGUAAUAAAUGGGAGCAGUACAAGGGAAUGGGAAUAAAACUGUGCUGAUACCAGCACUUACAAAGUUUGAUAAAAGGCUAAGAGCUCUGCAAAUUUACCUCAGUAAAAUGUCGUCCAUGUCUUCAGUGCAGAUCCAUCAUUUGGAUUCAGAAACUGGGAGCAGGCAAAGAUUUCAUGGCUUUGGUAUCAGAUGAUAAUCUCAAACAUUGUUAUGCUGCUGCCUAAAUCUCAGAUACCUUUAUCUCAAAAAAGAUGGAGAACAAGAAGAAAUAUCAGUGCAGACACUGAGCAUGGUCAGAAGCAUGGAACAGCUUGCUUAAAGGAGAAGAGGAAACAUACUGGUUGAAGAAGUGCUUGAACAAGAAACAGUUGUGUGGAAUAAGAAAAUAUGACAAUAUAUGUAAGAUAUGUAUCACAUUUUAAUUCGGUGCUUAGGGAGUACACAGUGAAUAUAAGAAAAAAACAACUACAAAGACCAAGUUUUCUCAUGGAAUAUUCAGUUAAACUGGAAAAUCUGGUGUCACUGAGUGCCAUGGAUGCCAAAUAUUUAAGUGGUUCUUACAAGGAAUUAAUUAUUUAUGGAAAAGCCGUCAGUGGCCAUUGUUAAUGACAGCCAAGAUGCAAGCCUAGAUCAGAAAUCCGUAAGCAGAAAAAUGACAAAAGAAAAUAAUCAGUGUAUGCUUGUUAUGCUGUGCUAUAUUACACUGUUCCUUUGGCUCAGCGUCCAUCAGCUGCUGCCAAAGGAGUAGCUCUUCAUGAAGAGUAAAAGCAGAACAAAUAUGAUACUUCCAUCAAACUUCCACUUGUAGCCACUGCUGGAGACAGGAAUGAGGACCUGUGGCCCCUUCUGAUACAUGGGCACGCCUUACAUUCUUAAAAUAAAGCUGUAAUGAGUUAGUAUGAUUAUGGCUAAAAGAUACUAAUGGAGUCAUCAAACUGUCAAUAUGGAAAAUCAAGAUGAUUCAAAAAUUGCCAGUGGUGUAGACUCACCAUGGUACAUGGGGGUUGCCCCGUCCCUGGAGGCACUCAAGGCCACGUUGGGUGGCCCCUGGGCAGCCUCAGCUGGUGGGUGGCAGUCCUGUUCACAGCAGGGGGAUGGAACUAGAUGAUGUUUAAGGUCCCUUCCAACCUACACCAUUCGAUGAUAAGUUUAAAUGAUGACACUAUUUCAAAGGAAUCUGCAUAUGUCAUACCUGCAGCACAGCAGUCAUCAGGAGGAAUGACAGUAACUGCAUCUUAGGAGUGUCUGCUAGCAUGAGCAUAACAAGCUAGAAAGAUAAUUGUGAGUACCAGCAUCAGAGAACAGUUUGACAGGGAACAACUAAGCUGCAUAGGAUGGUAUGUUUCCAAAUCUGGAAAUAAAUGGUGGGAGAGGAGAUCCUCAUGUGGAUGAUAGCAGCAAACAGCACUUUGGAGUGGUGUCUGGUCACAUGGAAUGGAAAGGCUAGAGUAUAUUGGAAAUCCAGCCCUGGCCACUUGGCCCAGAAAACUGAUUUAGGAUAUCUGAUCUGGAAAAGUAGUUGAGAGAACAGAUCGAUGUACCACUGUGUCUAUUCCUCCCCUGCAGCCCCAUGUUGUCUCCCCAAGGAAAAGAGUGAAGCUGUUUGCUUCCAAUCUUCAAAACUGAGAUGUGAGGGGGGGAAAUUUUCUUAAAUGUACUGCCUAUUGCCAUCCUGCUAAGUUAUAUUAAGGAUCAUGGCUUGGGACAAAGGAGGCAUUUGGAGACUCUUUUUCCUCUAACAUGAACAUUUUGAAUAAAAUAAAGACAUGCCCAUACUGGUCUAGUAAUUUCUAUAUCCUUUUUGUGCAGGUUACUUUGGCAGCUUCCUGAAGUGACCUGAGAGAUGCUCAGGAGCUUGUGAGUGGGUUUCAGAGAUUCUUUGAGGAGCAAUCUAGACCAAUUUUUGUUUAUCUUUUCUGAAGCCACAAGACAUAAUUUUCUCCCUGUCAUUAAAAGAAUUAUUCUUGUUAAAAUCUCUGAUUUACAAAUUAUUAAAAUGCUCUUGGCAAACAUGGAAGGGUUGAUUAAAUCCCAAACAUAAAUUAAAUUCACAUAUGUUUCAUUUUAUUUUAUUUUUUACUAUAAAUAACAAAUGGCUUUAGGUCAUUUGAAUAACAGAUGGGUUAUUUA